UUGAGCGUUUUUAUGCGGAAUGGGUUCAUGGUUAGAGCUUUCUGGAUGCUCUGUUUGAUCCCAAUGUAGGAACCACGAAGAACCAAAUGGA